rnacentral:rRNA from 1 species
CCUACGGGAGGCAGCAGUAGGGAAUCUUCCGCAAUGGACGAAAGUCUGACGGAGCAACGCCGCGUGAACGAUGAAGGCCUUCGGGUCGUAAAGUUCUGUUGUUAGGGAAGAACAAGUGUUAGUUGAAUAAGCUGGCACCUUGACGGUACCUAACCAGAAAGCCACGGCUAACUACGUGCCAGCAGCCGCGGUAAUACGUAGGUGGCAAGCGUUGUCCGGAAUUAUUGGGCGUAAAGCGCGCGCAGGCGGUUUCUUAAGUCUGAUGUGAAAGCCCCCGGCUCAACCGGGGAGGGUCAUUGGAAACUGGGGAACUUGAGUGCAGAAGAGGAAAGUGGAAUUCCAAGUGUAGCGGUGAAAUGCGUAGAGAUUUGGAGGAACACCAGUGGCGAAGGCGACUUUCUGGUCUGUAACUGACGCUGAGGCGCGAAAGCGUGGGGAGCAAACAGGAUUAGAUACCCUGGUAGUCCACGCUGUAAACGAUGAGUGCUAAGUGUUAGAGGGUUUCCGCCUUUAGUGCUGAAGUUACGCAUUAAGC